rnacentral:rRNA from 1 species
UGGGGAAUAUUGGACAAUGGGCGAAAGCCUGAUCCAGCUACGCCGCGUGAGUGAUGAAGGCCUUAGGGUUGUAAAUCUCUGUUGUAGGGAAAGAUAAUGACGGUACCCUAUGUAGAAAGCACCGGCUAACUCCGUGCCAGCAGCCGCGGUAAUACGGAGGGUGCAAGCGUUGCUCGGAAUUACUGGGCGUAAAGGGUGUGUAGGCGGUUAAUUAAGCGAGAUGUGAAAGCCCGAGGCUCAACCUCGGAAUUGCAUCUCGAACUGGUUAACUUGAGUCCGUGAGAGGGGGGUAGAAUUCCUGGUGUAGAGGUGAAAUUCGUUGAUAUCAGGAGGAAUACCGGUGGCGAAGGCGGCCCCCUGGUACGGUACUGACGCUGAGGCACGAAAGCGUGGGGAGCAAACAGG